AUUUUGAUGUAUGGAAAUACAAUCCUUUAAUUUUCGCGCGGUUAAAUAAAUAAGGAACUAGUCGCUCUAGCCAAUUAGAAAGCUUCUAGAUGAUCGCACGAUGUAUGGCGUCAUUCUUCAGUUAGAAAUCAGCGUGAAAGGACGUAUCGCCGGUUCGUGAUUCCUACUAUGCAAUUAACGGUUGAUUGCGUCGAUAUAAUCUCGAAAUUAUGAUUUAUUGCAUGCACACGCCAUGAUAAUUUAUUACCAACGAUUUCCUCGUAUAUCAGAUUAUUAGCCGAUUGCUAGAUUGCUAAAUUUCGAAGGCGGGAAAAAUUCCAAUAUGGACGCCAAUAUUGCUUUUUCACGAAGACACGAGUCAGUGCUUCUCUCAAGAGCAUAACGUGAUCAUCCAUCACGCGAAGAGAUCAUUGUAUCAGAUGACUUCUCUGCGAUUAUUUAUGGAUGACGACAGUAUCAAUGGCAACGCAGAUUUUUCGCAUCUAAUG